GACGUAGGGCGCGAGCGUUGUCCGGAUUUAUUGGGCGUAAAGAGCUCGUAGGCGGCUUGUCGCGUCGACUGUGAAAUCCCGCGGCUCAACCGCGGGUCUGCAGUCGAUACGGGCAGGCUAGAGUUCGGUAGGGGGAGACUGGAAUUCCUGGUGUAGCGGUGAAAAUGCGCAGAUAUCAGGAGGAACACCGGUGGCGAAAGGCGGGGUCUCUGGGGCCCGAUACUGACGCUGAGGAGCGAAAAGCGUGGGGGAGC
rnacentral:rRNA from 1 species